rnacentral:lncRNA from 1 species
AAUGUCGGAGUGAGUCAGACAUGUGAUCCCGAGUUGGGUACUGCCUGAUAAAAUUGUACACGAAAAUACGCGGCAUAGUUUAGGAGGGUCCCGACGGAAAUUGCCGUUGAACACACGGCGGACAUUUCGGGCCCCGACGAAAAAUCAAAGUUUUCGACCGCGGGGCGGGAGGGGAGGUGAGGGGGAGGAACAGCGCAGUCCGCCAUCUCGGAUCAAAGGAUCAACCGUUGAUGAAUUAUCUUGCAAGAACUAAGUUUUGGUACCCUCGAUCCACGAUGGCGCUGACCCCUUCCCCUGCCUCCAAUGUCAAAAACUUGGAACUUUCAUCGGGGCCUGAAACUAAAUAACAUGUAUCAAAAUCAUUUAUACUCCACCUCUUGUAGAGCAAAAGUCUUUUUUAGUCCCUAUU